UUUGUGAUAAUAAGUGCUGAUAGCAAAUUUCCUUGCCAGCUUUUGUAAUCCCGAUGACAUCACAGAACCUCCAUCACUGUAGGAAAUUGUUCUUCUAGGUGGCUGUGAUGACAUCAACCACUACAAGGGGAAGAAAAAGAAACAACAGGAAAUUCUGCGUUCAGCUAUUAACUGAUAAAUGAAGGAGGAACUGGCUUUUAAAGUCUUCAACUGAUUGGAUGAGGCCCGCCCACACUAUGGAAGCUGAGUCCAGGCCAUGGAGAAAUCCAAGAUGAAGGCAGAGAGCUGCUUCUUUGGAUGACCAAAGGGGGUUACCGAAGUGGAGAACAGAAUCUGUGGUGGCGUAUGGAACGGCCGUCAUUCAUUCACCCGACAAUGAUGUAUUGAAGGCUUAGUAUGGCAGGAACUAAGCUAACCAGGCACUGGUGGGUAAAAUAGAGAGAUAAGCGGCCCUCCCAGAGCAUGCUGCCGAGUGAGAAGCAAACAUGAAACAAUCAAUCACGCCCAUAAGUGUAAAACUGCAGUCUCGGUAAGAGAUGCGGCAGCAAGAACGCAGAGCUGGACCACCUAUAAGGGAUUUACCUUAAUGGGGAAGGUAGGCAGCUGUUGCUGGAGUUUAGAUCUGAAGGAUACGCUGGGCAAGAGGGAAGGAAGUGUGUUCCUGGCAGAGGGAGGAGCAUAAACACAGGGGCUGCAGUCAGAGAAGAGGGGAGUGUGCAAGACGACUCCAGAAAAAUGAUCAGGCCAUGCAGGGUUUGGGUCUUCAUCCUAAAUGGGUCUUUAGGCUGUUAAAGCCCCUAUUACUUGACAAUUCCACUCUUAGGCAUUUACCCAAGAGAAAUGAAAACUUAUGUCCCCAAAAGACUUAACACGAAUAUUCAUAGCAGCCUUAAAAUAGCCUAAAACUGGAAAUAAUACAAAUGUCCAUCAACAAGAGAAUGGAUAAAUAAAUUGCAGUAUAUUCAUACUCAAUUGAAAGGAAUGAACACACAACAACACAGAAUACUCUCAAAAAGAUUAUGCUGAGUAAAAUAGCCAGACAUAAAAACCUCUAUACUGUAUAUUUGUAUGAAAUCCAAAACCAGGCAAAACUAAUCUAUGGCGAUAAAAAUCAGAAAGUGGCUGGUUCUGGGUGUGGGGGCCAGGCAGGGGGUGACAUGACUGGAAAAGGGGAGCAAGGGAGCUUUCCGAGGUGAUACCGAUGUUUUGUGUCUUCUUUGGGGGGGUGAUUUCAGAGGCACAUCCAAUUAUCAAAACUCCUCAAACUGGACUGAAGAUCUUGUUUUAGAUUUUUUACAAUAUAUAUCAAAAAAAUUUUUUUAAGUACAAUACACACAUUAAAGUGUUUUAAGCACAGGACUGACAUCAGAUUUGCAUUGUGAAAAGAGCCCCUGGCUGUGGUCUGGAGAAGGAUAAGAAGAGGCCAGAAGGGAAGUGGGUAGACCGGUUCCUCUGCUUUAUGUGAAUUACCUAGAAGCCAGCAUACCCCUGAGCACCAAUGCGUAUCAGCCCGUCACCUGCCUUUAACACAGAAUUCAGACCUCCCCUUGCUGACCUCCUCUAGGAAUUGUGCAAAACAGUUGUCAAUGGACCGCAAAGGGAAUUUAGCUGGGAAACUGGGGCAAGAGACUAAAGAAACCACAGACAAAGGAGAGAAAUUAAACCAAACUUUUAUUACGUAGACUCUUUCAAGGCAGGAAUCUGUUGAAUGCUUUCUUACGUUCUCAUCCCUACAUCUACAGUUUUCUUCUGAAAUGAGAAGUCUAGCAGGCUGGAACUGGUCGAUGCAAUAGGAAGGCAAAAAUUACCUUUUACCCAUAGUUGGAAUGAACAGAAUUUAAAUUAGAUAACAUAGAACCAGCUUAUGUCUCAAAAAAAAAAAAAAACAAAAAACCAAGCGGGCAGUAUUAUGCAAUGAAAGAGGGUGUGAGACAGGAGGACUGGAUUGUGGAAUGAUGUGUAGGAUCGUAAGGAUUUAUCCUAGACCCCAGUACAAGUCAGAAAGGCACUUGCUGAAUGUUGAAAAGAAACACAGAAUCAAAGCAUUUUAGAGCUGGAAAGGAUUCUUAGAGGGCAUUUCAGCCUACACGUUUCACAGAUGAAAUGCAGAGGUAAAAGGACCAAAUUACCCAGGAUUUGAUUAGCACUUUACCAAGUACUUCCACAUUUAUUGCCUCAUUAAAUCCUCAUAAAGUGCUGGCAAAUAGCAAUUAUUAAUUCUUCUAUUCAGAAGAAGAAAUUGGGGCUCAGAGAGUAAAGCAGAAAAGCAAAUUCCCUCCAAUGUUUGAGCUUCUCCUCUGCUUCCAGGGCAUGCCACCAGAUCACAGUUCCCAGCUCUCCUGCAUUUGGAGGGGUGGGCCAACAGAGUUCCAGCCAAUGGAAUGUGGCAGAAGCCCGCUCCAGGGCUGGCCACUAAGACCUAGCAUACAAUCCUUUGUUUUCACAGCUUUAAAAUAGCCUAAAACUGGAAACAAUACAAGUGUCCAUCAACAAGAGAAUGGAUAAAUAAAUUGCAGUAUAGUCAUACUCAGUACUCCUCUACCUGCCAUCUAGAUGCAUAAGAUCCAGUAGAGCAGUACGAGGCCCCAAGGGAUGGUGAAGCCACCACUUGGCUGGAGCCUGGGUCCCUGAAUGACUCUGUGGAGCAGAGAUGUUUUCUCUCAUUCACUGACCUGAGUUAGACUGUGACGGGAGUGAGAAACAAACCUGUAUUGUGUCCCGGCACUGAAGUCUUGAUGGUGGUUGUACCAGUUAGCUUAACUAACAUAGAAAGGUUAAGGGACUCAGGCAAAAUCCAUAUAUUAAUUUAUUUAACAAAAAUCUAUUGAGCACCUAUUAUAUGUCUCAGAUACUGUGCUUGGCACUGGGUGUACAUCAAUGAAUUAAGACAGCUCUGGGCUGUGCCCUCCUGGGGUUUAUAUCUGGUGAGCUCACACAGUAUGGACAGGGCUAGGAUCCAAAUGAAAAUCUGCUAACUCUAAAUGUCUUCCGUUUUUCUACUUUGCAUACUUCCUCCCAAAUAAUCUGAAUCAAAAUGCAUGACAUUCCUCAAAGAUCACCUUGAAAAAUAGAAGAUUUGUCCUACCAUGUGAGUUACAGGAUGGAGAAAACGAGGUAGGGGUUGUUUGUUAAUCUUCUAUGUUCCUCAAGACCUAAGAAGGCCCAGCCCUGGUAAAAGUCGCUGUAUUGUAGAGCCUUAGUCAGUAGAAGGGAUUGGAAAACCAUUGUUUUCAUAUAUUUAAAUUUUCAGUUAUUUAAGGAUUAAACUAAAACAUGAAUUUCAAUUUA